UACGUAGGGGGCAAGCGUUGUCCGGAAUUAUUGGGCGUAAAGCGCGCGCAGGCGGCUUUGUAAGUCUGUCGUUUAAGUUCGGGGCUCAACCCCGUAUCGCGAUGGAAACUGCAAGGCUUGAGUGCAGAAGAGGAAAGUGGAAUUCCACGUGUAGCGGUGAAAUGCGUAGAGAUGUGGAGGAACACCAGUGGCGAAGGCGACUUUCUGGGCUGUAACUGACGCUGAGGCGCGAAAGCUAGGGGAGCAAACAGG
rnacentral:rRNA from 1 species